UACAGAGGGGGCAAGCGUUAUUCGGAAUUAUUGGGCGUAAAGGGCGCGUAGGCGGCCUGACAAGUGGAAGGUGAAAUCCCUCGGCUUAACCGAGGAACUGCCCUCCAAACUGUUUGGCUUGAGACCGGGAGAGGUGAGUGGAAUUCCCAGUGUAGCGGUGAAAUGCGUAGAUAUUGGGAGGAACACCAGUGGCGAAGGCGGCUCACUGGACCGGUACUGACGCUGAGGCGCGAAAGCGUGGGUAGCAAACAGG
rnacentral:rRNA from 1 species